rnacentral:rRNA from 1 species
GAUGAACGCUAGCGGCAGGCUUAACACAUGCAAGUCGAGGGGUAUAAGUAGCUUGCUACUUAGAGACCGGCAAACGGGUGCGGAACACGUACGCAAUCUGCCCUUAUCUUGGGGAUAGCCCAUAGAAAUGUGGAUUAAUACCCAAUAGUAUAUUAUUAUGGCAUCAUGAUGAUAUUAAAGAACUUCGGAUAAGGAUGAGC